UGAACGCUAGCUACAGGCUUAACACAUGCAAGUCGAGGGGAAACGACAUCGAAAGCUUGCUUUUGAUGGGCGUCGACCGGCGCACGGGUGAGUAACGCGUAUCCAACCUGCCCACCACUUGGGGAUAACCUUGCGAAAGUAAGACUAAUACCCAGUGAUAUCUCUAGAAGACAUCUGAAAGAGAUUAAAGAUUUAUCGGUGAUGGAUGGGGAUGCGUCUGAUUAGCUUGUUGGCGGGGUAACGGCCCACCAAGGCGACGAUCAGUAGGGGUUCUGAGAGGAAGGUCCCCCACAUUGGAACUGAGACACGGUCCAAACUCCUACGGGAGGCAGCAGUGAGGAAUAUUGGUCAAUGGGCGAGAGCCUGAACCAGCCAAGUAGCGUGCAGGAUGACGGCCCUAUGGGUUGUAAACUGCUUUUAUAAGGGAAUAAAGUGAGUCUCGUGAGACUUUUUGCAUGUACCUUAUGAGUAAGGACCGGCUAAUUCCGUGCCAGCAGCCGCGGUAAUACGGAAGGUCCGGGCGUUAUCCGGAUUUAUUGGGUUUAAAGGGAGCGUAGGCCGGAGAUUAAGCGUGUUGUGAAAUGUAGAUGCUCAACAUCUGAACUGCAGCGCGAACUGGUUUCCUUGAGUACGCACAAAGUGGGCGGAAUUCGUGGUGUAGCGGUGAAAUGCUUAGAUAUCACGAAGAACUCCGAUUGCGAAGGCAGCUCACUGGAGCGCAACUGACGCUGAAGCUCGAAAGUGCGGGUAUCGAACAGGAUUAGAUACCCUGGUAGUCCGCACGGUAAACGAUGGAUGCCCGCUGUUGGUCUGAAUAGGUCAGCGGCCAAGCGAAAGCAUUAAGCAUCCCACCUGGGGAGUACGCCGGCAACGGUGAAA
rnacentral:rRNA from 1 species